rnacentral:rRNA from 1 species
GACAGAGGGUGCAAACGUUGCUCGGAAUUACUGGGCGUAAAGCGCAUGUAGGCGGCUUUGUAAGUCGGAUGUGAAAGCCCUCGGCUUAACCGAGGAAGUGCAUUCGAUACUGCAGAGCUAGAGUAUCGGAGAGGGUCGUGGAAUUCCUGGUGUAGAGGUGAAAUUCGUAGAUAUCAGGAGGAACACCGGCGGCGAAGGCGGCGACCUGGACGAAUACUGACGCUCAGAUGCGAAAGCGUGGGUAGCAAACAGG